ensembl:lncRNA
UGUGAUUCGGCCGCUCACUGGGCAGAAGUCGCUGUUGGGAGAGAGAGAGAGCGAGAGAGAGAGAGAGAUAGAGACAUACAGACAGAGAGAGAGAAGGGGAGAGAGACAGAGAGAGAGCAAGAGACAGACAGACAGAGGGAGAGAGAGAGUGAGAGACAGACAGACAGAGGGAGAGAGAGAGCGAGAGACAGACAGAGAGACAGAGGGAGAGAGAGAGCGAGAGACAGACAGAGAGACAGAGGGAGAGAGAGAGCGAGAGACAGAGGGAGAGAGCGAGAGACAGACAGACAGAGAGACAGAGGGAGAGAGAGAGCGAGAGACAGACAGAGAGACAGAGGGAGAGAGAGAGCGAGAGACAGACAGACAGAGAGACAGAGGGAGAGAGAGAGCGAGAGACAGACAGACAGAGAGACAGAGGGAGAGACAGAGGGAGAGAGAGAGCGAGAGACAGACAGACAGAGAGACAGGGAGAGAGAGAGAGCGAGAGAGAGACAGAGGGAGAGAGAGAGAGAGAGACAGACAGACAGAGAGACAGAGAGAGAGAGAGAGAGACAGACAGAGAGAAAGAGAUAGAGAGAUGAGGUAGAGACAGACAGACAGAGAGAAAGAGAGACAGAGAGAUGAGGUAGAGACAGACAGACAGAGAGAAAGAGAGACAGAGAGAUGAGGUAGAGACAGAAAGAAAAAAACGAUUGAGUUAUUAACAGAGCGAGAGAGGAGAGGAGGGCAGUUUGACCCACAAUGCAUUGCGGUGCGUUGUGACCCGCGUUGGGGCUCUCUCACUCAGUCCCAGUGUCACAUCAGCGUUCUACAGAUACACAGGUCCAAGCAAACUAUUCCUCCAUUCUGGAUCAGAGUGACCUGGCCUAAUGUGACCACUGACCUACAGACCCAUACGGGCCCCAGUUUCUCAUGGAGAGCAGAGAAUCAUAUUAAAGCGAAUUAAAAGCAGUCAUUUUGGCUCCCACAUAAAUGGAUCUGUUCAUGUAUGUGAACAGUAAUGGGGAAAAGCGAUGUCCAUCAGAGUUAAAACUUACGGUUGUAACUAACCAGCACUGGCUCAGAGAAAGCUCUCAACUUUCUUCCUCUUUUUGUAUUUCAACCUGAAAUCACAAACAUUUGGCUGUGGUAGGAGCUGGUAUGGUAUGCAGCUGUUUCUCCUGGUAGAGAGAGAGAGAGAGGGUGGGGGGGGGACAGAGAUAGAGACAGACAGAUAGGUAGAAUGAAGAAUUGACAAAAGGAAGCUAGACCAAGAGAAAAAGAAGAGAAAAGGAAAUAGAGAAUGAGCGAAAAAUGAAAGAAAAAGAGAGUACUGCACUUUGAAAGGUAGGUCCUUGCAGAAUUCACAAUUCACCUCAGUAAGUGAUGUAGCUGUAGCUAGGACUAGGACUGGGACUAGGACAGGGACUAGGACUGGGACUAGGACUGGGACUAGGACUGGCAGAGAUGGUCAACUAGGGUUUAUUACAGGUUAUUUAUCACCAACCCUGAGUUAGACAGGCCUACAACGCUCUGCUGCUAACUGGUAUAUCACAUCACCCAGAGAGAGAGAGGACAGAGAGAGGUGAGAGGACAGAGAGAGAGAGAGGUGAGAGGACAGAGAGAGAGGUGAGAGAGACGAGAGGACAGAGAGAGAGAGAGGUGAGAGGACAGAGAGAGAGAGAGAGGUGAGAGAGAGAGGACAGAGAAAGAGAGGAGGGAGAGAGAGGUGAGAGGACAGAGAAAGAGAGGAGGGAGAGAGAGAGGUGAGAGAGACAAGAGGACAAAGAGAGAGAGAGAGGUGAGAGGACAGAGAGAGAGGAGGGAGAGACAGAGAGGACAGAGAGAGUCCUGGGGAACAUGUAGUGUACAAGUGCACUGCCAUUAAAUGACUGACAUUUCACUGAAAUACUGUAGGUGAUGAAACGAUUGGAGUCAUAGACAAAAUGUCUGUUUUUUUUAUGGAAGCUUGAUUCAACUAUUUUCCGAACUAGGCGUUUCACCUUUGUCCCAGUUAGGCCGAGGGAAGCUGGUUGCAAUAGUCAAGUGCAACAACACCUCUGACCUCGCA